GUACACUCCUGCGGGAGGCAGCAGUGGGGAAUAUUGGACAAUGGGCGCAAGCCUGAUCCAGCCAUGCCGCGUGAGUGAUGAAGGCCCUAGGGUUGUAAAGCUCUUUCACCGGUGAAGAUAAUGACGGUAACCGGAGAAGAAGCCCCGGCUAACUUCGUGCCAGCAGCCGCGGUAAUACGAAGGGGGCUAGCGUUGUUCGGAUUUACUGGGCGUAAAGCGCACGUAGGCGGACUAUUAAGUCAGGGGUGAAAUCCCGGGGCUCAACCCCGGAACUGCCUUUGAUACUGGUAGUCUUGAGUUCGAGAGAGGUGAGUGGAAUUCCGAGUGUAGAGGUGAAAUUCGUAGAUAUUCGGAGGAACACCAGUGGCGAAGGCGGCUCACUGGCUCGAUACUGACGCUGAGGUGCGAAAGCGUGGGGAGCAAACAGGAUUAGAUACCCCUGUAGUCC
rnacentral:rRNA from 1 species